GCCUAGUUAGUUAGGAUUAUAGCGCGCGCGCCUUGUAAGCGCUAGGUCGUGGGUUCGACUCUCGCACGGGGCG
rnacentral:tRNA from 1 species